GAUCCCUACGGGAGGCAGCAGUAGGGAAUCUUCCACAAUGGACGAAAGUCUGAUGGAGCAACGCCGCGUGAGUGAAGAAGGGUUUCGGCUCGUAAAGCUCUGUUGGUAGUGAAGAAAGAUAGAGGUAAUAACUGGCCUUUAUUCGACGGUAAUUACUUAGAAAGUCACGGCUAACUACGUGCCAGCAGCCGCGGUAAUACGUAGGUGGCAAGCGUUGUCCGGAUUUAUUGGGCGUAAAGCGAGUGCAGGCGGUUCAAUAAAGCU
rnacentral:rRNA from 1 species